GUUCUGGUCUAGUCUAGUCUGCUGAGGUCCGCAGUGUGUCAGGGAGCUGCGGCCCCCAGCUGGCGUGGCUCGCGCCCGGCAGGGGGGCGCUGUCCUGGUUUGCCUCUGGACUCUUUGUGUUCGAAACACUUGUUGCUUGAAAAAAGAAGCUACUUCUUUUUCCUAGCCAAAAACAAAGCUGGAAUCAUUGUUACCAGGCCACUUGGAACAUUCUGCCAGAGAGUAUAAUAUUCAAAUACAUGUGGAUUUUGGAGAAGCUUGGAUCUACAACUGCAGCGGCUAAAUUACUGUUGCAAUUCACUCCAAUUUUAUGGGUCAAAACAAGAUGGUAUCUAAGAGGGCGAGCAUAUUCUGGAAACCAGGUGAGCCGGCUAUGUCUGCUGAUCUUGGAGAAGUGGCCUUAUGUAUAAGAUGCCUUAUGAGGCCCAGCAGUGUGCUUCCCUCUCGUCACCAGUCCAAUGAUCCAGGAGUGACCCCUUUGUGGGUUACUUGUGUCCUUCUGCUGUGGCAGGGUUGCUCCCACUGCAGGUACCCAGGGAGUCUAAUCUUUCCUUCCCUGGCCAGCUGUUUGUAAAUCCGGUUUGGGGAGCCUCAGCACCAUUGGCUACAAAGUCUAUCAGCACACUCCUGUUGCAGUUUUCCUCUUAAUUGGGUUGGUACCCAGAGUAGCUGGUUGCUAGGCUCAGGGGUUUACAGUUGCCAUAGGCCUCAGACGUACAAGGCUAUUGUCAGUUCUCUUAGGAGUGCAGCUGAGUGGGGCUGGCCCUAGGCAUGGGGGCACUCAAUUGUUUCAGGCUUUGGAAGGUGGGGCUGAUCCUUUUUAUGGCUAUUUGUGAAGCACAGGUCUUCUGCUGCUGAUAAGCCUCACCCCCCCACAGGACCACACACACUGUCAACACAGUCCUGGUCCUUGCACACUUCCCAAUCCCCUGGAGCAUACCCUGACACCCAACUGCAGAGACCCCCUCCUUUCCCCCAGUGCCCCCCACAGUUCACCUGGUCCUCACACAGGCCCUGCCCCACAGAGGCGGACACCCUUGCCUGCCUGUAGAGGAUCAAGACACCCAGUAAAUGCAGGCCGAAAACUAGCCUGAGGGCUUGCUGUUGGGUGGGGCCAGUCUCUAGGGCAGGCUGCCUGCCCUGGCUGAACUGGAUUAAAUCUGUGCUCUAGUGGGUGUGACAGACCCCUGGGCUAACAGGCCAAGGGAAGAACCUCAGUGGCGCCCCCUGGGGUCUGUGUCAGCAUGCCUGGACCAGCUCAGAACAAUGGCCCCCACCAAUGUCUCAGUCUCUGGAGAGGUCCCUCCUCUCACCAAGAUGGCCCCAGAGACCACCUGGUGAGUCUCGUUUCACCAAAGGACUGUCAGCCUUCACUCUGGUGAUUUUAGGUUGCUGCAAUGAGUGAGUUUGUGCGUGGGCCCUUUAAGACCCAGGUCUUUUCGGCUUUCAGCCGAUAGCUUUUCUGGGGGUGUCCUCGCUGCAGUUAAUAGCCAGCAAAGCCAGACAGUAAGACCCCCGUCUCAGUUGGGCUGCGUCUGCAGGAUGCUUAGAGAACUAUCGGGCCCACUCCGGACCUCCCUCCUCCAAGGAGGGCUGCGGACCUUAGGGUGUCUCCCGCGUGGCCAGCUGAGAAGCUCUGCUGCUCCCAAAGGUGGCUUUUUUCCUCUCCAGCAGGAAUUUCUACCUCUUCUGCCUUCGUCAGGACUGUCCCUUGUUGUGGGGGUUCUUUUUGUCCAGUUUUCAGUUUUCUAUCUGGGGUAAUUGUUCCAAAAAUAGUUGUAACCUGGUUGUGUUCAUGGGAGGAGGUGAGUUCAGAGUCUGCUCACACCGCCACCUUGACGAGAUCUCCUGUCCUCACAAUAACCUUAUAAAGUGAGUAUUAUUAUUUGAACCUCAUUUUAUAGAGGAAGAAACUGAGACUUAGAGAAAUUAGGUUAAUUUACUGAAUGUCACACAUUUGGUAAGUGGCAGAAAUAGAGUUUGAACAUGGAAUUUGGGGCGAACGCAAUAAUGCCCCAAAAAGCCGCUCCUCUUGCGAAGGGCACUGAAGCCCUGCGGUGCUAACGCAGAGCCCAGCACAGGCAGAGUGGGUCUGCGCAGAGCACAGGGAAGACGACCUCCCAGGGUGGGUGCCAGAUGGAUGAGAUCUCGACGUGACAGGUAAAACUCAAAGGCUAAUGGAAGAAAAUUGCAUUUAUUUUAUGACCAAGUAUUAGAUUAAAACCUCUUGGGACACAAACCAGUGGAACUCUGUAACUGCAAACCUUUCUCAGGUAAGUAAUUGUCAACAGGCCUUUCAGGAGGAACUCUUGAAAUGUUUUUAAAAUUAAUAACAGAUUGACAAAGUUGUAGAAAGACAACUGGUGAAAAUUUAACCUUCCUAAAAUCUAAGUUUUCAAUGGCUAUGAAUCAAGAGAAUGAAAAAUUUUGAACUUAGUUAUAAGGAAUGUAAAGAAAUGACCAUUCCAGCAGACUGAUGAGAAUCAUAAAAGAGAGGCUCAGCAGACGAGGUGAUAGCAGGCCUGAAGUAGAGAAGAGAAACCCAAAACUUCCUUUAGCCGCACGGCUAGUGGCUCCAGGGAUGCCUAGUGAAAUAACGUUGGAAGUUAUUACAAAUACCGCAGCACACAGCGCUCAUAGUUUGCAGCAAAGAACUGUGCCCAAGCUAAUUUAGAGGAGUGUGUUUACAGUUCUUAUUCCAGAUGGCCUUCAUUAAGUUAUUCUCGAUGACUCCUUUUGUGAUCGUUAUUAAGCGUUGAGUUAAUGAGCUUCUCUGGUUUUAAUGUCUAUAUCCAAUUGAUCUCAGUUGGUGUAUUAACCAUGCCUUUUAUUUUCUGAUGCUUUGACAUCUUGGGACCUUGCUGCCCCUGGAGGGAGGGACUACCUGGAUAGCAAACGACUCGCCUGUGAGUGCCUUUCAUCUGCAAGCCAGCCAUAGAGAGCCCAAAGUCCUCAAGCACCCCCUCUGUGGACUCUCACGUUCUGGGCCCCCACACACCCAUGCGCAUCACCACGGGGCCAGGUACCAGACGACAAGCCUCCUGACCAAACCUGGUGCUUUCUUUGUGGCCCCUCGUGGUGUAGUCUGCCCCUUCCUCCUGAGAUCUAUAUUUUAGGAGACGAGGAGCCCCAAGCUGGAUUGGAAGGCGCCUCUGGUCCUCCUCCUCUCUGCGUCACAGAACCAGAGCUCUCUCUUCCCUUCCAGACCCCACUGCCCCCCCCGCCCCAAGAGUCAAGGGGUCUGGAGAGCGGUCUACUCACUUCUCUGUGAGCCAGGAGAAAGCUGGAGAAGGAGCAAAGCCCUUCACCAAGAAAUGGGACGGUUACAAGGCAUCACAGUGGGGAUGAGCUGUCACCAGUUCUACAGGGAACAGCAGUGUCUCGGGUCCUCAUCCGCCAUAUUGGGUUCAGGCCCCAGAUGGGAUGUGUUGGUAAAAGGAAUACAGCAGGCCUCACCCAGUGCGGAAGCUACUCUCUUGGAUCAUCCCAACAUCCUGGACAAGCCUUGGCCUUCCCCUGAAGUCCAGAGGAGCAUGAGUGUUUGCAUAAAGCUGGGCUCGGUACCUUCUCUCAGAGGAAGUUUUCCCUUUUUUGUGGAGGGAGAUGGCAAUCUUUGCCAAUCUGUUCCAGCCAAUGAUCAACAGAGACGUGCUUUUCUCGCAUCUGGCUUUGACGAUGUAAUGGAAUGCAGGGCGUCCAUUUCUCCUUUCUUCGUGCUUAUCACGCCGCCCUGGUCCUUGCGCUGAAACAGCCAUUCUGCCUUGUAUGGCUUGGCUGUCUUUCCAGUGCUGCCCUUAUUCUGAGUAUUUUCUGUUGCACUUUGCUGGAAUCGUAUAUAUGCAGUAAAAUCACCGAACCGAGGAAGAUCUGCUUGCCUGGGGGUCCCACAAGGCAAGCAGCAUCCAGAGGAGCAACUCAUCAUGGAUGCGGUGAUGUCUCAGUCACACUGUGACUGUGCGCCCCGGUUCAAUCAACUCCGCCGCAGACGUAAUUCACUGUGGAUCCCUUUCGUUUCGCUUAUCGUCAGAAUGAAUACACACAGGAACCCCUUUAGCCCCCACCGUUUGUCAUCGGCUGCCACGUUAAACAUUGAUUUUAUUUUCCCAGGUCAGAAAUGAUGAAAUCAAUAUCUAACACGGCCAGUUGUAUUUGCUCGUACCUUUUCAUUCAGAUUCCCUGACAAAUUUUAAACAUUUUACACUGCAUUUAAUUUAAGGAUUAAGUCUGUAAGCUUGUAGAUUUAAAUGUCAGUAAAGGUUAAGAAUUAAUUGUACAUGAAACUGACUACAUUAAAUUUUAAAGCGAGAGUAGUUAUUAUUAAACACACGUGGAGGUAUUGCGUUAUUUUAUUGUUAUGAUCCAUUCAUUAGUUCAUUUGCCCAUUAUUCAUUUGGCAUACAUUAAUGCAGC
rnacentral:lncRNA from 1 species